AUUGAACGCUGGCGGCAGGCCUAACACAUGCAAGUCGAGCGAGCGGCGGACGGGUGAGUAAUGUCUGGGAAACCGCCUGAUGGAGGGGGAUAACUACUGGAAACGGUAGCUAAUACCGCAUACCAUCAGAUGUGCCAAGAGGGUACUAGCUAGUUGGUGUGGUAACGGCUCACCUAGGCUACGAUCCCUAGCUGGUCUGAGAGGAUGACCAGCCACACUGGAACUGAGACACGGUCCAGACUCCUACGGGAGGCAGCAGUGGGGAAUAUUGCACAAUGGGCGAAAGCCUGAUGCAGCCAUGCCGCGUGUGUGAAGAAGGCCUUCGGGUUGUAAAGCACUGUCAGCGGGGAGGCGGUACCUGCAGAGGAAGCACCGGCUAACUACGUGCCAGCCGCCGCGGUAAUUC
rnacentral:rRNA from 1 species